AAACUACUCCCUCUGUCCCAAAUUUCUUGUAUUAGAUUUGUCUAGAUACAGAUGUAUCUAAUACUAAAAUGUGACUUGAUACAUCCGUAUCUAGACAAAUCUAAGACAAGAAUUUUGGGACGGAGGGAGUACUUU
rfam:Triticum aestivum genome assembly, contig: Triticum_aestivum_CS42_TGACv1_scaffold_424711_5BS